rnacentral:rRNA from 1 species
GACGAACGCUGGCGGCGUGCUUAACACAUGCAAGUCGAACGGAAAGGCCCCCACCUUGGUGGGGGUGCUCGAGUGGCGAACGGGUGAGUAACACGUGGGUGAUCUGCCCUGUACUUCGGGAUAAGCUUGGGAAACUGGGUCUAAUACCGGAUAGGACCAUGGUUUAGUGUCUCAUGGUGGAAAAAUUAUUGUUUUGGUGCAGGAUGAGCUCGCGGCCUAUCAGCUUGUUGGUGGGGUAAUGGCCUACCAAGGCGUCGACGGGUAGCCGGCCUGAGAGGGUGGACGGCCACAUUGGGACUGAGAUACGGCCCAGACUCCUACGGGAGGCAGCAGUGGGGAAUAGUGCACAAUGGGCGCAAGCCUGAUGCAGCGACGCCGCGUGGGGGAUGACGGCCGUCGGGUUGUAAACUCCUUUCGUUAGGGACGAAGCCACACCUUUUUUGGGUGUGGUGACGGUACCUUUGUUAAGAAGCACCGGCUAACUACGUG